CUGACGUUAGCGGCGGACGGGUGAGUAACACGUGGGUAACCUACCUAUAAGACUGGGAUAACUCCGGGAAACCGGGGCUAAUACCGGAUAACACAUGAAACCGCAUGGUUUCAUGAUGAAAGACGGUUUUGCUGUCACUUAUAGAUGGACCCGCGGCGUAUUAGCUAGUUGGUAAGGUAACGGCUUACCAAGGCAACGAUACGUAGCCGACCUGAGAGGGUUAUCGGCCACACUGGAACUGAGACACGGUCCAGACUCCUACGGGAGGCAGCAGUG
rnacentral:rRNA from 1 species